rnacentral:rRNA from 1 species
UACGUAGGGCGCAAGCGUUAUCCGGAAUUAUUGGGCGUAAAGAGCUCGUAGGCGGUUUGUCGCGUCUGCCGUGAAAGUCCGGGGGCUCAACUCCGGAUCUGCGGUGGGUACGGGCAGACUAGAGUGAUGUAGGGGGAGACUGGAAUUCCUGGUGUAGCGGUAGAAAUGCGCAGAUAUCAGGAGGAACACCGAUGGCGAAGGCAGGUCUCUGGGCAUUAACUGACGCUGAGGAGCGAAAGCAUGGGGAGCGAACAGG